rnacentral:rRNA from 1 species
UACGUAGGGUGCGAGCGUUAAUCGGAAUUACUGGGCGUAAAGCGUGCGCAGGCGGCGCGUUAAGACAGGUGUGAAAGCCCCGAGCUUAACUUGGGAAUUGCGCUUGUGACUGGCGUGCUGGAGUGUGGCAGAGGGAGGUGGAAUUCCACGUGUAGCAGUGAAAUGCGUAGAGAUCCGGAAGAACACCGGAGGCGAAGGCGGCUUGCUGGGCCAGUUCUGACGCUGAGGAGCGAAAGCGUGGGGAGCGAACAGG